ensembl:snRNA U6 U6 spliceosomal RNA
GUGCUCACUUCGGCGGCACAUACACUAAAAUUGGAGCAAUACAGAGAAGAUUGGUGUGGCCCUGUGCAAGAAUGACAUGCAGAUUCGUGAAGCGUUCCAUAAAAGA